rnacentral:rRNA from 1 species
GACGAACGCUGGCGGCGUGCCUAAUACAUGCAAGUAGAACGCUGAAGAGAGGAGCUUGCUCUUCUUGGAUGAGUUGCGAAAGGGUGAGUAACGCGUAGGUAACCUGCCUUGUAGCGGGGGAUAACUAUUGGAAACGAUAGCUAAUACCGCAUAACAAUGGAUGACCCAUGUCAUUUAUUUGAAAGGGGCAAAUGCUCCACUACAAGAUGGACCUGCGUUGUAAUAGCUAGUAGGUGAGGUAACGGCUCACCUAGGCGACGAUACAUAGCCGACCUGAGAGGGUGAUCGGCCACACUGGGACUGACACGGCCCAGACUCCUACGGGAGGCAGCAGUAGGGAAUCUUCGGCAAUGGGGGCAACCCUGACCGAGCAACGCCGCGUGAGUGAAGAAGGUUUUCGGAUCGUAAAGCUCUGUUGUAAGUCAAGAACGAGUGUGAGAGUGGAAAGUUCACACUGUGACGGUAGCUUACCAGAAAGGGACGGCUAACUACGUG